rnacentral:lncRNA from 1 species
UCUGCCUAAUUUUGUUCUUGCGAUAAAUAUUUGUUUCGCAAUAUGUCGCUUAGAUAUUUGGUAUAUGAUAUCGAACAGUUUAUGCGCUUUUGAAAUUUACCCUGCGUAACCGAAUACUUUUCUUUGUAGGAGUUAUCUCCCCAAACACUGUUUUUUUUGUGUCCACGACUCCUUCGCAACCGUAAAAGAUUACGACAACUUUAUUUUAUAAAAUUGCUCGUUAUAUCCUUCGCAUGAUUUGU